UGGGGAAUCUUGGACAAUGGGCGAAAGCCUGAUCCAGCCAUGCCGCGUGUGUGAAGAAGGUCUUCGGAUUGUAAAGCACUUUAAGUUGGGAGGAAGGGUUGUAGAUUAAUACUCUGCAAUUUUGACGUUACCGACAGAAUAAGCACCGGCUAACUCUGUGCCAGCAGCCGCGGUAAUACAGAGGGUGCAAGCGUUAAUCGGAAUUACUGGGCGUAAAGCGCGCGUAGGUGGUUUGUUAAGUUGGAUGUGAAAUCCCCGGGCUCAACCUGGGAACUGCAUCCAAAACUGGCAAGCUAGAGUAUGGUAGAGGGUGGUGGAAUUUCCUGUGUAGCGGUGAAAUGCGUAGAUAUAGGAAGGAACACCAGUGGCGAAGGCGACCACCUGGACUGAUACUGACACUGAGGUGCGAAAGCGUGGGGAGCAAACAGGAUUAGAUACCCCUGUAGUCCCUGAGCGGGCUGGCAAGGCGCAU
rnacentral:rRNA from 1 species